UAGGGAAUCUUCCACAAUGGACGCAAGUCUGAUGGAGCAACGCCGCGUGAGUGAAGAAGGUCUUCAGAUCGUAAAACUCUGUUGUUAGAGAAGAACACGAGUGAGAGUAACUGUUCAUUCGAUGACGGUAUCUAACCAGCAAGUCACGGCUAACUACGUGCUAG
rnacentral:rRNA from 1 species